CCCGACUUUGCGUAUUAGCUCUAAGUUCUUUCGGUCCGUUUCUAUGAUCCCCGACUUUGCGUAUAAGCUCUAAGUUCUUUCGGUCUGUUUUUAUGAUCCCCGACUUUGCGUAUCAGCUCUAAGUUCUUCCGGUCCGUUUUUAUGAUCUCUGACUUUACGUAUCAGCUCUAAGUUCUUUCGGUCUGUUUUUAUGAUCCCCGACUUUGCGUCUUAGUUCUAAGUUCUUUCGGUCCGUUUUUAUGAUCCCCGACUUUCCGUAUUAGCUCUAAGUUCUUUCGGUCUCUUUUUAUGAUCCCCGACUUUGCGUAUUAGCUCUAAGUUCUUUCAGUCGGUUUUAUGAUCCCUGACAUUGCGUAUUAGCUCUAAGUUCUUUCGGUCCGUUUUGAUGGUCUUUGCGUAUUAGCUCUAAGUUCUUUCGGUCAUUUUUAUGACGUAUUAGCUCUAAGUUCUUUUGGUCGUUUUUAUGAUCCCCGACGUUGCGUAUUAGCUCUAACUUCUUUCGCUCGGUUUUAUGAUCCCCGACUUUGCGUAUUAGCUCUAAGUUCUUUCGGUCCGUUUUGAUGAUCCCCGACUUUGCGUAUUACCUCUAAGUUCUUUCGGUCGGUUUUAUGAUCCCUGACUUUGCGUAUUAGCUCUAAGUUCUUUCGCUCCGUUUUGAUGAUCCCCGACUUUGCCUAUUACCUCUAAGUUCUUUCGGUCGGUUUUAUGAUCCCUGACUUUGCGUAUUAGCUCUAAGUUCUUUCGUCCCUUUUUAAGAUCCCCGACUUUGCAUAUUAGCUCUAAGUUCUUUUGGUCGGUUUUUAUGAUCCCUGACUUUGCGUAUUAGCUCUAAGUUCUUUCGGUCCGUUUUUAUGAUCCCCGACUUUGCGUAUUAGCUCAAAGUUCUUUCGGUUGUUUUAAUGAUCCCCGACUUUACGUAUUAGCUCUAAGUUCUUUCGAUCCGUUUUUAUGAUCCCCGACUUUGCGUAUUAGCUCUAAGUUCUUUCGGUCGUUUUUUGAUACCCGAGUUUGCGUAUUAGCUCUAAGUUCUUUCGAUCGGUUUUUAUGAUCCUCGACUUUGCGUAUUAGCUCUAAGUUCUAUCGGUCCGUUUUUAUGAUCCCCGACUUUGCGUAUUAGCUCUAAGUUCUUUCGGUCGGUUUUUAUGAUCCCUGACUUUGCGUAUUAGCUCUAAGUUCUUUCGGUCCCUUUUUAUGAUCCCCGACUUUGCGUAUUAGCUCUAAGUUCUUUCGGUCCCUUUUUAUGAUCCCUGACUUUGCGUAUUAGCUCUAAGUUGUUUCGGUCCCUUUUUAUGAUCCCCGACUUUGCGUAUUAGCUCUAAAUUCUUUCGGUCCGUUUUUAUGAUCCCCGACUUUACGUAUUAGCUCUAAGUUGUUUCGGUCCGUUUUUAUGAUCCCGGACUUUGCGUAUUAGCUCUAAGUUCUUUCGGUCCGUUUUUAUGAUCCCUGACUUUGCGUAUUAGCUCUAAGUUGUUUCGGUCCCUUUUUAUGAUCCCCGACUUUGCGUAUUAGCUCUAAAUUCUUUCGGUCCGUUUUUAUGAUCCCCGACUUUACGUAUUAGCUCUAAGUUCUUUUGGUCCGUUUUUAUGAUCCCAGACUUUGCGUAUUAGCUCUAAGUUCUUUCGGUCCGUUUUUAUGAUCCCCGACUUUGCGUAUUAGCUCUAAGUUCUUUCGGUCCGUUUUUAUGAUCCCUGACUUUGCGUAUUAGCUCUAAGUUCUUUCGGUCCCUUUUUAUGAUCCCCAACUUUGCGUAUUAGCUCUAAAUUCUUUCGGUCCGUUUUUAUGAUCCCCAACUUUACGUAUUCGCUCUAAGUUGUUUCGGUCCGUUUUUAUGAUCCCGGACUUUGCGUAUUAGCUCUAAGUUCUUUCGGUCCAUUUUUAUGAUCCCUGACUUUGCGUAUUAGCUCUAAGUUCUUUCGGUCCGUUUUUAUGAUCCCCGACUUUCCGUAUUACCUCUAAGUUCUUUUAGUCGGUUUUUAUGAUCCCCGACUUUGCGUAUUAGCUCUAAGUUCUUUCGGUCGGUUUUUAUGAUCCCUGACUUUGCGUAUUAGCACUAAGUUCUUUC
rnacentral:lncRNA from 1 species